AUGAGUGCAUUGUGCCCCCUACCAAAGAUCUCAUACCAAUUUUGGACUUAUUGUUCACUAUUAUAACAUAUGAUCAGACUUCAGAACCUCCAUUUUUCAUGAUCAAAUUUCUUCACAGGAAGGAGAAGGAGUUGUACUCUAAGCUUAAUUAUAUGUACCCUGGAAGCAUCCUCAAACUCCAACAAAAGGAAACCAGAACAAGAAAGCAACAACAGAUUACAGAUCAAGUAACAAAAUCAAAAUCAGCAAAAGGAGUUCUAUUUCAUCAACCAAGAUCAAGGGAAGAUCAACGGUAUCAAAAGCAAGUCCAUGAUUAACAUGGAUGGGACUGAUCAUAGAGGAAUACCAAUAAAGAGUAAACUUUGCUUGAUGAUCAUGGCACAAUAUUGCUCAAGUUAAAGAAUUUGAACCCAGUGUGUCAGAUGAUGGAUAGCUAGGGGAGGUUCAAAAUACACGUAUAUGUGUAAUUCUUGAAAGGUUAACUACAAAAAAUAGCAAAUAUAAUUUCAUUUAUUUGUUGAUUAUAACAUUCUAUUUUCAUCUUCUUUUUAUUACAACAUUGUAUUUUGAAAAAUAUACCAAAUUAUAACAAUGUCAUCCAAAUACAACGCAAUUUUGACUAUUAUAGUUGGGUAACAUUUUCAAAAUACAAUGCCUUUAUAAGAAAUAAACUUGUGAGAUGCUAUAAUAAACAAAUGAACAAAAGUACAUAGCUAUUUCAUUCGUUUAUCUCAUUCAUUAAUUAUGGGUUGUUGUGUGCCUAAUUCACAUUGCACUUGUGAGAUUGUUAGAAAAUAACUUUUUUUAUGAACAAACUAGUGAAAAAGAUGGAUAAAAAAGAAAAAAUCAAACGCAUUGACCACAAAGUCAAAACAAUCAAAUUCCACAAUGGCUACGAAGCAAUUCAAGAAUCACAACUUCAACUUUUUAUACCCCCCACAAUGAUUUACUGGAGUCUCAACCCUAAGAAAGACUCACAAGUCAUGGCUCCAAACUUCCUUCUUUAAACUAGUGCAAAUUAGUAAAAACAUUUCAAUAAAACAAUUUUAGCCAAUAAUUGGUGGUAUUAUAUCUCAAAUAUCAAUCAAUCAAAUCAUUCUUUGAUUUGAGUUUGAGUUUGAGUUCUUCCUUUCUUUGAUUUGUUCUUCUCCUGCAUUUUCUUCUUCUUGGCUUCUGCACUGAUCCAUGUGUAGUCAGCAGGAAUAGCAAAAGGGUCUUGAGUAGUUUCGAUUCUACUGCUUGAAGCACCAGAUGAUGAGCUGGCACGGUGGUAUGGAGUUUUGAUCCACUGGAACCAAGAUGAUGAUGACGUGGAGGAUUGAUUGGCCAUUGAUGGGCUGUCACGGUCGCCACUUGUCGGACUUGUAGGUGGGGUUGUGAAUUCAUCCAACGGUUGUAACUCUUCAAAUUUUGUGAAAGUAACUAAAACCCUUAUGGUCGGGAUCACUGGAAUUGCUACCUGAAAACAUCACAUAUUAUUAUUAUUAUCACCCAGAAAAUAAUAUCAGUAUAUAAAAACUUUUGUAAAUCUGUGAAUUUAUAAUAGGAAAACUUUUAUACAA